rnacentral:rRNA from 1 species
CAGUAGCCGCGGGAAUACGAAGGGGGCUAGCGUUGUUCGGAAUUACUGGGCGUAAAGGGCGCGUAGGCGGCCAUUCAAGUUAGAUGUGAAAGCCCUGGGCUCAACCUAGGAAUUGCAUUUGAUACUGUUUGGCUUGAGUUCGGGAGAGGUGAGUGGAAUUCCCAGUGUAGAAGUGAAAUUCGUAGAUAUUGGGAAGAACACCAGUGGCGAAGGCGGCUCACUGGACCGACACUGACGCUGAGGCGCGAAAGCGUGGGGAGCAAACAGGAUUAGAUACCCCGGUAGUCCCUGUCUCUUAUAA